rnacentral:rRNA from 1 species
GACGAAGGUGGCUAGCGUUAUUCGGAUUUACUGGGCAUAAAGCGCACGUAGGCGGCCUUGUAAGUCGGGGGUGAAAUCCCGCAGCUCAACUGCGGAACUGCCUCCGAUACUGCUUGGCUUGAGUGCAGGAGGGGUGACCGGAACUCCAGGUGUAGCGGUGAAAUGCGUAGAUAUCUGGAGGAACACCAGAGGCGAAGGCGGGUCACUGGACUGCUACUGACGCUGAGGUGCGAAAGCUAGGGGAGCGAACAGG